rnacentral:rRNA from 1 species
GUGCCUGAGACAUGCAAGUCGUGGGAGAAUGUCGUAGCAAUACGGCUAGUAAACCGGCGCACGGGUGAGUAACACGUGGAUAACCUGCCUUGGAGUUCGGAAUAACCCGUCGAAAGACGGGCUAAUACCGGAUAAGACCACGAAGAGUUCGCUCUUUGAGGUAAAAGGUGGCCUCUGCUCCUGCAAGCUAUCGCUUCUAGAGGGGUCCGCGGCCUAUCAGCUAGUUGGUGAGGUAACGGCUCACCAAGGCUAAGACGGGUAGCUGGUCUAAGAGGAUGGUCAGCCACACUGGGACUGAGACACGGCCCAG